rnacentral:rRNA from 1 species
CAGUCGCCGCGGGAAUACGAAGGGUGCAAGCGUUAAUCGGAAUUACUGGGCGUAAAGCGCGCGUAGGUGGUUCAUUAAGUUGGAUGUGAAAGCCCUGGGCUCAACCUGGGAAUUGCAGUGGAUACUGGGCAACUAGAGUAAGGUAGAGGAUAGUGGAAUUUCCGGUGUAGCAGUGAAAUGCGUAGAGAUCGGAAGGAACAUCUGUGGCGAAGGCGACUAUCUGGGCCAUUACUGACACUGAGGCACGAAAGCGUGGGGAGCAAACAGGAUUAGAUACCCCGGUAGUCCCUGUCUCUUAUAC